AAGCUCAGGGACUUCUAGGUUCACGGGGGCGGGGUGCCUCCUACUGUGCCGGCGGCUGUGGGUGAGGCAGGGCGAGGCGGGCCCGACUUGGGGCCAAUUUCACUUGUACUUGUCUGGGUUGUGGGCCCAGCACCCGUGCCCGCUCCUCUGGUGCCCUAGGUCAAGGCGUCCCCCACAUAGUCAGCUUUCCUGGCCCUGUCCCCACCCCGUGAGAAGCGUGGGCCCACGCAGUGGCGUCCAGGUGAGGAGCUGAGGCACCUCUUUCUUCUUUUUGAGGAGAACAUUCCCUGCCCCUGUGGAGUUGUCUUUCCGUUCCUCAAGCAACAGAGACAUGACAGCAUCUAGAGUUGCCAGGCCUGGAGUCUGGAGAAGAAACUAGGACCCUGUACCACCUUUUGAGGACUCUGCGGAACAUGGAAUGCCUGGGUGGUCUUCUGGGCCCCUGCGUACUAAAUAAUAAUAAUAGUUUCUCACCUUUGGACAAGAUUUGAAUACUUUUAAUUCUUCAUAACAUUAUUUGAUUCAUGUAAUCGUAGGAAUGAGAUGGUUUUUCUUAUCUGAUAGGUCAUGAAACUGGUAGAAAGUAGGUGAAAGUUCUGGUUCAGAGUGUCAUCGAAGUGCUGUGACAGAAGCAUGAGCCCUACCACCUCUCAGUUCUUGUUUAUGUCACUUUGCCCUCACAGAACUUUCUGAACCCUGGUGCUAUCAUUUCUGUUUGUCAGAAUGCAGAACGGGUGUUUUGAGCUCAAAAAUUGCUUGUCAAAUAUGGGAGGAUAGGGAGACCAGUUUGACCUUGACUUUCCUGUUAGGAGCUAUCUAGAAAGCUGACUGUGACUGCCAGAUGGUUUUUUCACUCCUAACUUGACAGCCCUGGGAAGGUGUUAUAAUCAAAGGUUCAAUGUCAAAUGUGUACUUUGUUAAUAAAAAUAAAGCGAGCAAGCCUCUGUAGACAUUCUC